ensembl:lncRNA
CUGAUGGGCAGUUGUGUUGAAUCGCAAAAGAUCAGGACCCUGAAAAUAGGUCCAUUAGGCUUCGUGUUCGGAGAUGACCUAUAUCAUCAAGGAUGGGAGAUCAAAGAAAGCUUUCCUGGGAUUCCAUGAAGCUUGAAUCUUACAAACCACGAGAAUUAGCUCUGAUUGCGCUGCCUCCCUGCGAUGCAAAACGCGGCCAUGAAGCCACUCAUACCGGGGGAAAUGGAACGAGCCAACCAACUGGGUGUCUGGUUCCCAUUUCCAUUGCUCCGCGGGGUGUCAGAGACGCAUUGGCUGCCGAACAUAGAAACGGAUGGACCAGAAAUGCCCAUGUGUCUCCCUGAUCUGUACCGCUCGAGCCUGAGCAGACAACGGUGGUUGCAGUGGGAAACUCUGGUGUGAUUUAUGAGGAGGUCCUCCUUUCCGCUGUUUGAGUUGCCAUUGUGCACGAUAAUGAACAUGAGGCAUCGUCGGUUCAAAAAUGAAGGUCAAUGGGUUGAUGCGUUAAUUCAUUGUUAAAAGCAUUUAGUUUAGUGAAGGAGAAAGCUGUAUUUACUGUUAUUUCUUUCUGACCCUGUUUUGUGCCCUGAUCUGUUGUGAUUCAUG